GAUGAACGCUGGCGGCGUGCCUAAUACAUGCAAGUCGAGCGAACGGACGAGAAGCUUGCUUCUCUGAUGUUAGCGGCGGACGGGUGAGUAACACGUGGAUAACCUACCUAUAAGACUGGGAUAACUUCGGGAAACGGGAGCUAAUACCGGAUGAUAUUUUGAACCGCAUGGUUCAAAAGUGAAAGACGGUCUUGCUGUCACUUAUAGAUGGAUCCGCGCUGCAUUAGCUAGUUGGUAAGGUAACGGCUUACCAAGGCAACGAUGCAUAGCCGACCUGAGAGGGUGAUCGGCCACACCGGAACUGAGACACGGUCCAGACUCCUACGGGAGGCAGCAGUAGGGAAUCUUCCGCAAUGGGCGAAAGCCUGACGGAGCAACGCCGCGUGAGUGAUGAAGGUCUUCGGAUCGUAAAACUCUGUUAUUAGGGAAGAACAUCUGUGUACGUAACUGUGCACAUCUUGACGGUACCUAAUCAGAAAGCAACGGCUAACUACGUG
rnacentral:rRNA from 1 species